UACGUAGGGUGCAAGCGUUGUCCGGAAUUAUUGGGCGUAAAGAGCUCGUAGGCGGUUUGUCGCGUCUGCUGUGAAAACCCGAGGCUCAACCUCGGGCCUGCAGUGGGGUACGGGCAGACUAGAGUGCGGUAGGGGAGAUUGGGAAUUCCUGGUGUAGCGGUGGAAUGCGCAGGAUAUCAGGAGGAACACCAAUGGCGAAGGCAGAUCUCUGGGCCGUAAGCUGACGCUGAGGAGCGAAAGCAUGGGGAGCGAACAGG
rnacentral:rRNA from 1 species